rnacentral:rRNA from 1 species
CAGUAGCCGCGGUAAUACGUAGGUGGCAAGCGUUGUCCGGAAUUAUUGGGCGUAAAGGGCUCGCAGGCGGUUUCUUAAGUCUGAUGUGAAAGCCCCCGGCUCAACCGGGGAGGGUCAUUGGAAACUGGGAAACUUGAGUGCAGAAGAGGAGAGUGGAAUUCCACGUGUAGCGGUGAAAUGCGUAGAGAUGUGGAGGAACACCAGUGGCGAAGGCGAUUCUCUGGUCUGUAACUGACGCUGAGGAGCGAAAGCGUGGGGAGCGAACAGGAUUAGAUACCCCUGUAGUCCCUGUCUCUUAUAC